GACGAACGCUGGCGGCGUGCUUAACACAUGCAAGUCGAACUGUAAGGCCCUUCGGGGUACACGAGUGGCGAACGGGUGAGUAACACGUGGGUGAUCUGCCCUGCACUUUGGGAUAAGCCUGGGAACCUGGGUCUAAUACCGGAUAGGACUCCGGACUGCAUGGUCUGGGGUGGCAAGCUUUUGCGGUGUGGGAUGGGCCCGCGGCCUAUCAGCUUGUUGGUGGGGUGAUGGCCUACCAAGGCGACGACGGGUAGCCGGCCUGAGAGGGUGACCGGCCACACUGGGACUGAGAUACGGCCCAGACUCCUACGGGAGGCAGCAGUGGGGAAUAUUGCACAAUGGGCGCAAGCCUGAUGCAGCGACGCCGCGUGAGGGAUGACGGCCUUCGGGUUGUAAACCUCUUUCAGCAUCGACGAAGCGAAAGUGACGGUAGGUGCAGAAGAAGGACCGGUCAACUACGUGCCAGCCGCCGCGGUAA
rnacentral:rRNA from 1 species